rnacentral:rRNA from 1 species
UACGUAGGGUGCGAGCGUUAAUCGGAAUUACUGGGCGUAAAGCGUGCGCAGGCGGUUAUAUAAGACAGAUGUGAAAUCCCCGGGCUCAACCUGGGACCUGCAUUUGGGACUGUAUAGAGAGAGUACGGUAGAGGGGGAUGGAAUUCCGCGUGUAGCAGUGAAAUGCGUAGAUAUGCGGAGGAACACCGAUGGCGAAGGCAAUCCCCUGGACCUGUACUGACGCUCAUGCACGAAAGCGUGGGGAGCAAACAGGAUUAGAUACCCUGGUAGUCCACGCCCUAAACGAUGUCAACUGGUUGUUGGGUCUUCACUGACUCAGUAACGAAGCUAACGCGUGAAGUUGACCGCCUGGGGAGUACGGCCGCAAGGUUG